CCUGAAUACUGUGAGCCUCUAGA
rnacentral:piRNA from 1 species